AGGGAAGUGGAAACUUUUUUACCCCCAAACUCUGUGCAAUGGAGCACACGGCUUAUGCAUCGAUGAAGCCCGCGGCAAAAAGCGAUAUGUAAUGAGAUUCGUUAGCCUCGCGAUUCAUCAAAUUGGUGAACACAUACUGGACCUCUUCGGAGGUACUUGCGUUAGAGUGCUAGUUUUCUAUCAAUUGAUCCUGGUAAAAGGUGUUUGAAUCAUUAGGUUCUUACGCCCUAGCCGGUGUAGCCGGAUUCUCUUUGAGAAUUCGGAUUGUUCCUGGAUGCCGAUGAUAUGUCAUGUGUGAUUCUGCCUUAGUAUACUCAUUAGGAUGAAUUUCCGAGGGGUCCCCUGCUUUGGAGAUGAAUAACAACAUAUUGUCAAUUUCUAGGUCAAUCUUCUUUUUUAUUAAACUGGCCUCUAAUGUGAGAGGGUACCCCCUGGAUUUAAGCAUAUUAAUAAGGGGAGGAAAAAGAAAA
rnacentral:rRNA from 1 species